AUUGAACGCUGGCGGAAUGCUUUACACAUGCAAGUCGAACGGCAGCACGGGGCAACCUGGUGGCGAGUGGCGAACGGGUGAGUAAUACAUCGGAACGUGCCCAAUCGUGGGGGAUAACGUAGCGAAAGUUACGCUAAUACCGCAUACGAUCUACGGAUGAAAGCGGGGGAUCGCAAGACCUCGCGCGAAUGGAGCGGCCGAUGUCAGAUUAGGUAGUUGGUGGGGUAAAGGCUCACCAAGCCAACGAUCUGUAGCUGAUCUGAGAGGACGACCAGCCACACUGGAACUGAGACACGGUCCAGACUCCUACGGGAGGCAGCAGUGGGGAAUUUUGGACAAUGGGCGCAAGCCUGAUCCAGCCAUUCCGCGUGCAGGAUGAAGGCCUUCGGGUUGUAACUGCUUUGUACGGAACGAAAGGUCCUGGUUAAUACCUGGGGCUCAUGACGGUACCGUAAGAUAAGCACCGGCUAACUACGUGCCAGCAGCCGCGGUAA
rnacentral:rRNA from 1 species